rnacentral:rRNA from 1 species
AUUGAACGCUGGCGGCAUGCCUUACACAUGCAAGUCGAACGGCAGCACGGGAGCAAUCCUGGUGGCGAGUGGCGAACGGGUGAGUAAAGUAUCGGAACGUGCCCAGUCGUGGGGGAUAACGUAGCGAAAGUUACGCUAAUACCGCAUACGAUCUAUGGAUGAAAGCGGGGGCUCGCAAGACCUCGCGCGAUUGGAGCGGACGAUAUCAGAUUAGGUAGUUGGUUGGGUAAAGGCUCACCAAGCCGACGAUCUGUAGCUGGUCUGAGAGGACGACCAGCCGCACUGGGACUGAGACACGGCCCAGACUCCUACGGGAGGCAGCAGUGGGGAAUUUUGGACAAUGGGCGAAAGCCUGAUCCAGCCAUGCCGCGUGCAGGAUGAAGGCCUUCGGGUUGUAAACUGCUUUUGUACGGAACGAAAAGGUUUGGCCUAAUUAGCUGAGCUCAUGACGGUAGCGUAAGAAUAAGCACCGGCUAACUACGUGCCAGCAGCCGCCGUAA